UACGUAGGGUGCGAGCGUUAAUCGGAAUUACUGGGCGUAAAGCGUGCGCAGGCGGUCUGUUAAGACCGAUGUGAAAUCCCCGGGCUUAACCUGGGAACUGCAUUGGUGACUGGCAGGCUUUGAGUGUGGCAGAGGGGGGUAGAAUUCCACGUGUAGCAGUGAAAUGCGUAGAGAUGUGGAGGAAUACCGAUGGCGAAGGCAG
rnacentral:rRNA from 1 species